rnacentral:rRNA from 1 species
CAGCCGCCGCGGUAAUACCGGCGGCCCGAGUGGCGGCCACUAUUAUUGGGCUUAAAGCGUCCGUAGCCGGGUUGGUUAGUCUCCCGGGAAAUCUGGCCGCUUAACGGUCAGAAUUCCGGGAGAUACUGCCAGCCUAGGGACCGGGAGAGGCCGAGGGUAUUCCCGGAGUAGGGGUGAAAUCCUAUAAUCCCGGGAGGACCACCUGUGGCGAAGGCGCUCGGCUGGAACGGGUCCGACGGUGAGGGACGAAGGCCAGGGGAGCAAACCGGAUUAGAUACCCGGGUAGACCUGGCUGUAAACGAUGCGGACUUUGUGUCGGACAAGCUAUGAGCUUGUCCGGUGCCGGAGGGAAACCGUUAAGUCCGCCGCCUGGGGAGUACGGCCGCAAGGCUGAAACUUAAAGGAAUUGGCGGG